rnacentral:rRNA from 1 species
UACGUAGGGUGCGAGCGUUAAUCGGAAUUACUGGGCGUAAAGCGUGCGCAGGCGGUUUGCUAAGACCGAUGUGAAAUCCCCGGGCUUAACCUGGGAACUGCAUUGGUGACUGGCAGGCUAGAGUAUGGCAGAGGGGGGUAGAAUUCCACGUGUAGCAGUGAAAUGCGUAGAGAUGUGGAGGAACACCGAUGGCGAAGGCAGCCCCCUGGGCUGAGAUUGACGCUCAGGCACGAAAGCGUGGGGAGCAAACAGG